rnacentral:rRNA from 1 species
UACGUAGGGGGCUAGCGUUGUCCGGAAUCAUUGGGCGUAAAGCGCGUGUAGGCGGUUCGGUAAGUCCGCUGUGAAAGUCGGGGGCUCAACCCUCGGAUGCCGGUGGAUACUGUCGGACUAGAGUACGGAAGAGGCGAGUGGAAUUCCUGGUGUAGCGGUGAAAUGCGCAGAUAUCAGGAGGAACACCGAUUGCGAAGGCAGCUCGCUGGGACGUUACUGACGCUGAGGUGCGAAAGCGUGGGGAGCAAACAGG